UACGUAGGUGGCAAGCGUUGUCCGGAUUUACUGGGCGUAAAGAGCGCGCAGGCGGUCGUUCAAGUCGCGUGUGAAAGCCCCCGGCUCAACUGGGGAGGGUCACGCGAUACUGAUCGACUGGAAGGCAGGAGAGGGUAGUGGAAUUCCCGGUGUAGUGGUGAAAUGCGUAGAGAUCGGGCGGAACACCAGCGGCGAAGGCGGCAUCCUGGCCCUGUCCUGACGCUGAGGCGCGAGAGCGUGGGGAGCAAACCGG
rnacentral:rRNA from 1 species